rnacentral:rRNA from 1 species
GACGAACGCUGGCGGCGUGCUUAACACAUGCAAGUCGAACGGGCCUUGUCCCCUUUUUUUUUGGGGGUGGGGUUAGUGGCGAACGGGUGAGUAACACGUGAGUAACCUGCCCCUCACUUCUGGAUAACCGCUUGAAAGGGUGGCUAAUACGGGGUGUUCUGGCCUGCUCGCAUGGGUGGGUUUGGAAAGAUUCGACCGGUUUUGGUUGUUUUGGUGGGGGAUGGGCUCGCGGCCUAUCAGCUUGUUGGUGGGGUGAUGGCCUGCCAAGGCUUUGACGGGUGGCCGGCCUGAGAGGGUGGGCGGUCACACUGGGACUGAGACACGGCCCAGACUCCUACGGGAGGCAGCAGUGGGGAAUAUUGCACAAUGGGCGCAAGCCUGAUGCAGCGACGCCGCGUGAGAGAUGGAGGCCUUCGGGUUGUGAACCUCUUUCGCCAGUGAAGAAGGUCCUGCUCUUUGUGGUGGGGUUGACGGUAGCUGGGUUAAUGAAGCGCCGGCUAACUACGUG